rnacentral:tRNA from 1 species
GGUGGGGUGGCCGAGUGGUUAAUGGCAACGGACUGUAAAUCCGUCGCGCGGAAGCGCUUCGCAGGUUCGAAUCCUGCUCCCACCA